UGGGGAAUAUUGGACAAUGGGCGAAAGCCUGAUCCAGCCAUGCCACGUGUGUGAAGAAGGUCUUCGGAUUGUAAAGCACUUUAAGUUGGGAGGAAGGGUUGUAGAUUAAUACUCUGCAAUUUUGACGUUACCGACAGAAUAAGCACCGGCUAACUCUGUGCCAGCAGCCGCGGUAAUACAGAGGGUGCAAGCGUUAAUCGGAAUUACUGGGCGUAAAGCGCGCGUAGGUGGUUUGUUAAGUUGGAUGUGAAAUCCCCGGGCUCAACCUGGGAACUGCAUCCAAAACUGGCAAGCUAGAGUAUGGUAGAGGGUGUGGAAUUUCCUGUGUAGCGGUGAAAUGCGUAGAUAUAGGAAGGAACACCAGUGGCGAAGGCGACCACCUGGACUGAUACUGACACUGAGGUGCGAAAGCGUGGGGAGCAAACAGGAUUAGAUACCCCGGUAGUCCCUGAGCGGGCUGGCAAGGCGCAU
rnacentral:rRNA from 1 species